rnacentral:rRNA from 1 species
UGCGAGUCCAGAGUGGUAAUGCACUCGGCAAACGGCUCAGUAACACGUGGGUAAUCUGCCCUCAGGACAGGGAUAACCCCGGAAAACUGGGGAUAAUAUCUGAUAGGUGGAGAAGUCUGGAACGACUCUCCGCUCAAAUGCUCCGGCGCCUGAGGAUGAGCCUGCGACCGAUUAGGUUGUUGGCGGUGUAACGGACCACCAAGCCUGAGAUCGGUACGGGUGUUGAGAGACAGAGCCCGGAGAUGGGGACUGAGACACGGCCCCAGGCCCUACGGGGCGCAGCAGGCGCGAAAACUCCGCAAUACACGAAAGUGUGACGGGGGAACCCCAAGUGCGCUCACGCAAGUGAGUGCUUUUGUGAAGUGUAAAUAGCUUCGCGAAUAAAAGCGGGGUAAGACCGGUGCCAGCCGCCGCGGUAACACCGGCCGCUUGAGUGGUGAUCACUAUUAUUGGGCCUAAAGCGUCCGUAGCCGGUCUGGUAAGUCCUUGGGCAAAUCCUAUCGCUUAACGAUAGGAAUUCUGAGGAUACUGUCAGACUUGAGGUCGAGAGAGGUCGGAGGUACUUCUGGGGUAGCGGUGAAAUGCUAUAAUCCUAGAGGGACCACCAGUGGCGAAAGCGUCCGACCAGAGCGAGCCUGACGGUAAGGGACGAAAGCCAGGGGAGCGAACGGGAUUAGAUACCCCGGUAGUCCUGGCCGUAAACGCUGUGGGCCUAGGUUGUUGCAUGCUCUACGAGGGCAUGCAGUG